AGCGAACGCUGGCGGCAGGCCUAACACAUGCAAGUCGAACGAACCUUUCGGGGUUAGUGGCGGACGGGUGAGUAGCACGUGGGAACGUGCCUUUAGGUUCGGAAUAACUCAGGGAAACUUGUGCUAAUACCGAAUGUGCCCUUCGGGGGAAAGAUUAAUCGCCUUUAGAGCGGCCCGCGUCUGAUUAGCUAGUUGGUUGAGGUAAUGGCUCACCAAGGCGACGAUCAGUAGCUGGUCUGAGAGGAUGAUCAGCCACAUUGGGACUGAGACACGGCCCAAACUCCUACGGGAGGCAGCAGUGGGGAAUCUUGCGCAAUGGGCGAAAGCCUGACGCAGCCAGGCCGCGUGAAUGAUGAAGGUCUUAGGAUUGUAAAAUUCUUUCACCGGGGACGAUAAUGACGGUACCCGGAGAAGAAGCCCCGGCUAACUUCGUG
rnacentral:rRNA from 1 species